AGUCGAACGGUAACAGGAAAUAGCUUGCUAUUUUGCUGACGAGUGGCGCACGGGUGAGUAAACUAUAGUUAAUGUACCCCAAAGACUGGGAUAGCCACUGGAAACGGUGAUUAAUACUAGAUACACCUUCUUAUCACAAGGUAAGAAGGGAAAUGUCUUUUCGCUUUGGGAUCAGACUAUAUCCUAUCAGCUAGUUGGUGAGGUAAUGGCUCACCAAGGCAAUGACGGGUAGCGGUUCUGAGAGGAUGAUCCGCCACACUGGUACUGAGACACGGACCAGACUCCUACGGGAGGCAGCAGUGAGGAAUAUUGCACAAUGGGGGGAACCCUGAUGCAGCAACGCCGCGUGGAGGAUGACGCAUUUCGGUGUGUAAACUCCUUUUAUAUGUCAAGAAAAUGACGGUAGCAUAUGAAUAAGCACCGGCUAACUCCGUGCCAG
rnacentral:rRNA from 1 species